UAGUACACUUAAAUUAAAUUUGCAAAUACUAGAAUAUUAGAAGUUAUGUUCUUUAAAUUUAAAAAAUUUGGCGGUGUUUUAGUCUAGUUAGAGGAACCUGUUUUAUAAACGAUACAACACGCAUUAUUUUACUUAUUUUAGUAAGACAGCUUGUAUACCGUCAUUAUAAGAUAAUUUAGGAGAGAAUAUUAUUGGGAUCAUAUUAUUGAGUAUAUUAGAUCAAGGUGCAGCUUAUAAAUAAGUAAACAUGGGUUACAAUAAAAUUUAUUUAAUAUGAAUUAAGUAUUUAAAUAUAUUUAUGAAGGAGGAUUUAAUUGUAAGAGAAGGAGUAGUGAGAUUUUCUGAUAUAAGCUCUAAAUUAU
rnacentral:rRNA from 1 species